UUUCCGUAGGUGAACCUGCGGAAGGAUCAUUACAGAGUUCAUGCCCUCACGGGUAGAUCUCCCACCCUUGAAUAUUUAUACCUUAGUUGCUUUGGCAGGCCGUGGAAACACCAUGGGCUCCGGCUUAUGCGUGCCUGCCAGAGGAAACAAACUCUGUUUUUAGUGAUGUCUGAGUACUGUAUAAUAGUUAAAACUUUCAACAACGGAUCUCUUGGUUCUG
rnacentral:misc_RNA from 1 species